rnacentral:rRNA from 1 species
GCGAGAAAACUUUGCAAUGUGCGAAAGCACGACAAGGUUAAUCCGAGUGGUUUCUGCUAAAGAAACCUUUUGUCAGUCCUAGAAACACUAACGAAUAAGGGGUGGGCAAGUUCUGGUGUCAGCCGCCGCGGUAAAACCAGCACCUCAAGUGGUCAGGAUGAUUAUUGGGCCUAAAGCAUCCGUAGCUCGUUUUGUAAGUUUUCGGUUAAAUCCAUACGCUUAACGUAUGGGCUGCCGGGAAUACUGCAUAACUAGGAAGUGGGAGAGGUAGACGGUACUCGGUAGGAAGGGGUAAAAUCCUUUGAUCUAUUGAUGACCACCUGUGGCGAAGGCGGUCUACCAGAACACGUUCGACGGUGAGGGAUGAAAGCUGGGGGAGCAAACCGGAUUAGAUACCCGUGUAGUCCCUGAGCGGGCUGGCAAGGCGCAU